rnacentral:lncRNA from 10 species
GUUCUGUGUGGCCAGGCAUUGUUCUAAGCGCUUUAUAUCCUGCCCUCAAAUUCUUGCAACAUUCCUAAGAAGCAGGCACUAGCCUCACUAUUUUACAGAGGAGAAACUAAGGCUUGAAGUUAGAUACCUUGCCUGCACUUACAGCUAUUAAAUGGCGAAAUAGAAUUUGAAACCAGGUCAUCUGCAUCAGAAUCCAUGCACUUAAUCACAAGGCUACUACUACAUCUCCAGCUAUAUUUCAUCUCAGUUCGUUUUCACAAUAGCAUUUCCUUUUUCACAUGAUAAAACAGAGGAGAGGCUCAGAGUGUUAAAAGUCAAUGGCCCAAGUCAUAGAGCUAUUAAAGGAGUGGAAUAGGCCGGAGCGAUAGUGGGGAGGGCCGGCGGGAGGCUGAAGGCGGUAGUCUAUUGUACAAUGCUGCCAUCUAGUGGUAAAAUCUGAAACCUUCCUUAUACGUACCCCGCCCAUUUCUAAAAAUGAUUUACAGUUGCUUGAAGUUUCAGAAGAUGGAAACCCUGUCAAAUCCUCAAAGUAUUAAAAUAAAAGUGAAAGGAAAACAACCAUAUCAUAAUGGAGGAAUAGCUGAGGCAAUAGUUUUUAACUGAGAACCUACUUGGCUCUGAGUUUCCUGGCAGCCAAGGCUAAGAAGGAAAUGUGUGUUCCAUUGCUUAUUGCACAAUAAAAAGUCGAUUAAUCCAUCACAAGACCAGCCUUGGACUUCAUUUUUAAUUCAACAACAAUGGCACUAAAGAUGUUGUAGGUGCCCUCCUGUGGACAUUCAUUUACCUGGAAAAGCCAACCAAGGGUCCCGAUGGAACAAGUAUGCUUGUUUAUAUAGGGGCCCUGGCUCAGCCUUUCCCCAAGCAGUCAUUCCUGGGAUGAGAAUGACCCAUGAAGGCUUUCAGCAAAUGCUAUCCACUAGGUCUUUCGGGCCCAGGCACCACCCACAUUUGUGGUAGUUUUGGUUCAGUUAUGUUUCGAAGGCAGCGCUGAGGGCCUGGCCCCUUGGUUUGGACUUUGGGUGGUGGCAGUGACAGUGCUCUGUUGUUCCAUGAGCUCCAGAGAUGUACUCUAGACCUGCGCUGUCCAAUAAGGCAGUCACAGGUUACAUGUGGCUCCUGAGCACUUAAAUUGCAGCUGGUCUGAACUGAGAUGCCCAAGGCCAGCUCUGAUUUGCUGAUGUAUCAGUUAUAGUUUUCAGAAGCCAAUUUGCAAAUUUCCUUUCAGAUCUUAAAAAGCAAUCACAUCAAAUGACUGUCAACAUAUCCCAGUGCGCCAUGCUCCAUGAAAUGACUAAAUAAAGCAAAAUUCCUUUAUGGAUUCCUUGGAGUAUAACUGAUCACAAGUUUGAGAAUCUUGGGCUAAAUCCAAAAGAUGGCAUCAAGCUCCCAGGCAGCUGGCCAAAAUGUGAAGGCAAUCUGCCUGGAUGAACUUCUUCAAAAUUUCCAGUUUACUCUUAGCACAUCUAAGGUCACUGUAUGAGUCCGUUUUCAUGCUGCUGAUAAAGAGAUACCUGAGACUGGGCAAUUUACAAAAGAAAGAGAUUUAAUGGAUUUACAGUUCCACAUGGCUGGGGAGGCCUCACAAUCAUGGCAGGAGGUGAAAGGCAGGUCUCACAUGGUGGCAGACAAGAGAAGAGAGCUUGUGCAGGGAGACUCUGUUUUUCAAACCAUCAGAUCUCACGAGACUUAUUCACUAUCACAAGAACAGCACGGGAAAGACCUGCCCCCAUGAUUCAGUUACCUCCCACCAGGUCUCUCCCACAAUAACUGAGAAUUCAGGAUGAAAUUUGGGUGGUGACAUGGCCAAACCACAUCAGUCACACUCCAAUUCUUGAAUGAAACUGGGUAGGACCAGUGCCCACCCAAAUGAUCAGAAGGGAGUGUGUGCCUCCCACACAGUAACUCCCCAUUAAAUGUGAGUUCUCACGUCAGAGGUGCAUAGGGCUGGGGAGCCAGAAGUAUGUGAGGUCUCUUUCUGGGCUUAAAGCAGGGAAGGAACCCAGAAGCCCCCUGCUGAGCAGAGGACUCACUGUGGGGUUUGCCCUUUGGUAAGUCUGAAUUUUGGUGGUCGAAUUCAAAAGCCUCCUGUAGCGUGCAAAGGACACAGCUUCAGAGCCUUCCAGGGUGGCUAGCUCAUGGUGGUCACGCCCCACCUCCUGUGGAAUGAAUGGAUUCCACAGGGCUUAGUUGUCUGUUACUGUCUUGUUUCCUGUUACCCUGGGCUAUGUCUCUUAGGCUGCCUCCAAAUCUUCAGGGCAGCCUUGGAGGAGCCUCACACCGGACUCAGGCUAGAGCUCCCAAGGGAGAGCAAAGCCGUGGGGUGACUAGGUGCUCAGUGAGUCCC